rnacentral:lncRNA from 1 species
UCCACUUAGAUUUAUACCAUAAAAAAGAUUAAAACCUUCCAAGACCGUAUUUAAUACUUUGAUAAAACCCCAAACUAAACUAUCCCAACAUGUUUCUCCACCAACUCUGCCUUCAUCCAAAAAGAUUGUGAUGAUUAAUCCAGACAAUUGUAUCAUGGAGUUGCAUAAGAGGGUUGAAGUGACAAAAAUGACAAGUCAGUGAAGGACUUGGUGCUGCUACUCUACGAGAUUGUGCUGUUGACUUUUGGAUUUAGACUUGAUGACAUAAACACAUUUUCUGCAAAAAUUGACCUAAUGUUGAAGUUGGGUUGUGUUGGGGAUCGUACUAAUAUGUUUGUAAUUUCUUAGGAAGGCUAGAAGAGGAGGGAUCCAUGGAGAAGGCUGCUUGAUAUCAAUGUAGAGGACUUCGUCACCAGUGACUACCGGAGUAGGAAUGAUGAGACUUAGCAAAGCUGACUGUUGUGUCCUUGGGAGCAGAAAUAGAAGAAGAAUGAAGAUCUGGGGUAUAUUAUUAUGAGCAGGUAAAUUUUUGUAUGAUUUGUGGGUACAAUCUUGGUUGCCAGACAUUGACAAUGAGCCAUUCUUUAUUGACAUAUGCAAUUUUACACAAAUGUCU